rnacentral:lncRNA from 1 species
UUUUUUUUUUUUUUUUUUGGUCUUUUUAGGGCCACACCCAUGGCAUGUGGAAGUUCCCAGGCUAGGGGUGGAAUCGGAGCUACAGCUGCCGGCCUAUACCACAGCCACAGCAGCACCAGAUCCUUAACCCACGGAGUAAGGCUGGGGAUCAAACCUUCGUCCUCCUGGAUACUAGUCAGAUUCUUUUCCACUGUGUCACAGUGGGAACUCCAGAAGUGGAUUUUAUUUUUAAUAAAAAGUGUUCAAUAAAUCUCUGUGGAAAUGAAGGCACAACAAACAAGUAAGCAGAAAAGCAGGGCAUCCCAGAGCCCUCUGCUCCCUAGAAAUGUCUAUUCUGAAGUUCUUCUUUGCCCGGUGGGGUACCUCCAGAGAGACCCCCUUUCACCUUCUCUUCCACCCUCCCUCUCCCAAGCAUCUUCCCAGGAUAAGCUGUCCCAGGUUCCAGGACUAUCUCAGGGAAUGAAAGAACCGAAGCCCUGCCCUCCUGGACUUCUCCUUGGGGACACAGCGCUCACAUAUGACUACAUCUAAACUAACUGCCCCAAAACUGCAGAAGUAAGAUAAAUGCUACGUAGGAUAUAAUCACAGUGAUGGGGGCAGAAAGUAUUGGGAGAAGGUCACAGGAGAUGGGCUUCCAGGAAGUCCAGAGAGACUUCUGGCGACCCUUGAGCUGAGAUUUGAAGUAUGGGCAGCAUCCCGUAAAGACCUCAUUUUUUCUGGCAGAGGAGGGGACCGUUUUCUCCCGGUGGAUUGCAAGAGAGGUGAGCAAGAGGCAGAGAUGAGUCUAGGCUGAGGUUGGGCAGGGAAGGAGGAGGCCAGGCACGCAUGACCUUGUGGGACCAGGUGAGGACUUUGAUCCAACCUGGGCUGCUGGAUGGACUGAAGGGGGGAGCAGAGUUUGUGAGUUGGGGAGGGGAGGGGAGGGAAAUCAGGGCAUUUGCAGAAUGACUCCUAGGUUUCUGGCUGCAGCCACUGGGUGGGUUAAUGUGGACCCUUUUUCCAAGUCUGCUUUAGGGAGAUAUUGGUCAAGAUGCCCUUGAUCUUCUGCUCGGAUCUCUGUUUCCCCACUUGUUAAGUGAGUACCUUCUGAAAAGGCACAUCACCUCUUGGAGCCUCGGUUUCUCUACCUGU